GUGGGUGGGCGAACCGAAUCCGCACGAGGACACGUCUGCGCAGUCGCAGCCGCGCAAAAACCACCGGGCACCGGCGCACGUACGCCGCAUGCUCCACCACCACCACCACCCUCCCCUCUCCUCCUCCAAAGCCCAAAUCCCUUCACAUUGCUCAACCCGCCCAACCUCCACUUUCCCAAUCCGAAUCCAACUCCUCACCCACCGCCGCCUCCCCAAUGGCGUCGCCGGGCGCCGCCGCCUUCUCCGCCGCGCUCGUAACCGAAGACUUCCCGUGGGUGGAGAGGGAGGAGGAGAUGGGGAUGGCUCCCGACAAGUUCCGCGAGGUGUUCGACCUCGCGCAGCGCGGGGCGCGAGCCUUCCGGGAGCGCCGCUUCGACGAGGCAAUUUCCUUUUACUCAAAAGCUCUAAAUUUGAGACCAGGAGAUCCCAUUAUCCUUAGCAACCGAAGUUCUGCUUUCUGUAUGAUAAGUCAACUGUUGAGGGAGAGAUCAGCAGCUGACUCUGAGUAUCAGCCAUUGAAUGGCCUUGAUCCUACAACACAUGCAGAGUUAGCUCUGAAGGAUGUGGAGAAGAUACUAGCAAGCAACAGUAAUUCUCCUAGAUCAUAUAUUCUCAAGGCAUACGCCCUUAUUUUGCUGGAGCGUUACCACGCGGCACGUGAGGCCCUUCUUGCUGGUCUUCAAGUUGAUCCUCUCAGCCAUAUGCUGCAAACCUGUCUUAGCAAUCUGGAUAGAAAUACAAAUAUUGCAGCUGGGGCAAGGCGUGCAAGGUUAGAUAGGACUGAUGAUUUUGAGUGCACAUUAUGUUUCAAGCUAUUGUUUGAGCCAGUCACUACUCCGUGUGGACAUUCAUUUUGUCGCUCUUGCCUACAUCAGUCAAUGGAUCAUGGCAAUAAGUGCCCCAUGUGUCGGACAGUGCUAUUUAUUGGUCCAAGAACCUACCCUAUAAGUGUAACAUUGAGCAACAUAAUUCAGAGAAAUUUUCCAGAAGAAUAUGCUGAGAGGAGGUCAGAACUUGAGACUAUGACAUAUGCAGGCCUUGAUUUGAUGCCUCUCUUUGUUAUGGAUGUUGUACUUCCCUGCCAAAAGAUGGCCCUGAACAUAUUUGAGCCUCGCUACAGGCUGAUGGUAAGGAGGAUAAUGGAAGGGAAUCAUCGAAUGGGAAUGGUUGCUCUUGAUUCAGCAACGGGUACUGUAGCUGAAUGUGGUUGUGAGGUGGAAAUUUUGGAGUGCGAACCACUUCCAGAUGGACGUUUUUAUUUAGAGGUUGAAGGUACACGCAGGUUUCGUAUCUUGCGAUCAUGGGACCAAGAUGGGUAUCGAGUUGCUGAAGUUGAAUGGUUGCAAGAUAUACCUCUGCCAGAAGGAUCGCAAGAGAGAAGAGAUCUAAUCGAAAUGGCCAAUGGGGCAUCAGAGCUGGCCAGGGGAUAUAUUAGGCGUGCUAGAGAAACAGUACGGCCCGUGAGGCGAACUAGACAUUUGGAUCUUGAAAGCAUGCCUGGGCCACAUGAUCCUGAAAAAUUUAGUUUCUGGCUAGUCAACUUGAUAAAUUUGAGGCCAUCAGACAGGCUAGAUCUUUUAAGUCUCCGUGAUACUCGGGAGAGGAUUUCCCGCAGCCUGAGAUUGCUGGGUGAUGCAGAACAAGGUUGCCGUGUACAAUGACUAAGCUGUUGUCCAAGCAUCAUAUUCCACUUUUCACAGGUCAAUUUAUUAUCCUAGAGGGGUUGGGGAUGGGAGUCUCUGCUAGGGUUCUUAUGUACGCUGCCACAAUUUUUUUUAAAACGAAACCAGGAGGGAGGCCCCUACUGAGAUCAUCAUUUAAAAGAUAGUGUUAUGUACAGGAAGAAAGAGAAUUUACUCGGCCAAUAUUGCGUUCAAACUUUCAAGUGUUUGUUUGCCCGCUGAAUAAUCCGUGCAAGUUCAGCCUUGAAUUCUCUCUACCACGCAGUGGUAGAAAGUUGACCACCACUGAAAUUAAUGUUCUUUCUGUGAGUCCAAACACACCAACAAAGCCAGCACAAUG